rnacentral:rRNA from 1 species
GACGAACGCUGGCGGCUUGCUUAACACAUGCAAGUCGAACGGAAAGGCCCUGCUUUUGUGGGGUGCUCGAGUGGCGAACGGGUGAGUAACACGUGAGUAACCUGCCCUUGACUUUGGGAUAACUUCAGGAAACUGGGGCUAAUACCGGAUAGGAGCUCCUGCUGCAUGGUGGGGGUUGGAAAGUUUCGGCGGUUGGGGAUGGACUCGCGGCUUAUCAGCUUGUUGGUGGGGUAGUGGCUUACCAAGGCUUUGACGGGUAGCCGGCCUGAGAGGGUGACCGGCCACAUUGGGACUGAGAUACGGCCCAGACUCCUACGGGAGGCAGCAGUGGGGAAUAUUGCACAAUGGGCGGAAGCCUGAUGCAGCAACGCCGCGUGCGGGAUGACGGCCUUCGGGUUGUAAACCGCUUUCGCCUGUGACGAAGCGUGAGUGACGGUAAUGGGUAAAGAAGCACCGGCUAACUACGUGCCAGCAGCCGCGGUGAUACGUAGGGUGCGAGCGUUGUCCGGAUUUAUUGGGCGUAAAGGGCUCGUAGGUGGUUGAUCGCGUCGGAAGUGUAAUCUUGGGGCUUAACCCUGAGCGUGCUUUCGAUACGGGUUGACUUGAGGAAGGUAGGGGAGAAUGGAAUUCCUGGUGGAGCGGUGGAAUGCGCAGAUAUCAGGAGGAACACCAGUGGCGAAGGCGGUUCUCUGGGCCUUUCCUGACGCUGAGGAGCGAAAGCGUGGGGAGCGAACAGGCUUAGAUACCCUGGUAGUCCACGCUGUAAACGGUGGGUACUAGGUGUGGGGUCCAUUCCACGGGUUCCGUGCCGUAGCUAACGCUUUAAGUACCCCGCCUGGGGAGUACGGCCGCAAGGCUAAAACUCAAAGGAAUUGACGGGGCCCCGCACAAGCGGCGGAGCAUGCGGAUUAAUUCGAUGCAACGCGUAGAACCUUACCUGGGUUUGACAUGGAUCGGGAGUGCUCAGAGAUGGGUGUGCCUCUUUUGGGGUCGGUUCACAGGUGGUGCAUGGCUGUCGUCAGCUCGUGUCGUGGGAUGUUGGGUUAAGUCCCGCAACGAGCGCAACCCUUGUUCACUGUUGCCAGCACGUUAUGGUGGGGACUCAGUGGAGACCGCCGGGGUCAACUCGGAGGAAGGUGGGGAUGACGUCAAGUCAUCAUGCCCCUUAUGUCCAGGGCUUCACGCAUGCUACAAUGGCUGGUACAGAGAGUGGCGAGCCUGUGAGGGUGAGCGAAUCUCGGAAAGCCGGUCUCAGUUCGGAUUGGGGUCUGCAACUCGACCUCAUGAAGUCGGAGUCGCUAGUAAUCGCAGAUCAGCAACGCUGCGGUGAAUACGUUCCCGGGGCU